GGGCUAUCCCACCAUUACCAGCCAGGUUCAGUGGAAAGACCUUCCCCCUGGCUAUCUUGGCAAAUUUGGGUGGCAAAAGAAUAUGGCCCUGAAGGAAUUUAAUGAAAAUGAAAGAUUUACCAUGUUUUCAGAGAAUGAGCGGGAGAAGACACUGGUGGUGGGGAAAGAUAAAUAUGUGGAAUAUGGAAGCCUGACCUGGAUGAUGCCUGAAUGGGGCGGGACCUAUGGAGUUGUGACUAAUAGUUUUGCCUUUGUCUCUGUCAACAUAACUGUGGAGUCCCAAGUUUGUUCUGCGUCCAUAAUUUUUUCCCAUAAUAAAGGUGGACCAAGUUUCAAAGGAUCAAUUGUGCCUGAAAAAAUUCUCAUUGGUAAAACUGAUUUAUAUAGCAUGUAUUUUAUAGCCUUCAACACCAAGCCUGUCUGUCAAACGGAUAUCAUAACUGGGAUUGAACUCCAGAACCUGUUUGUUCAAAUGGUUACAGAGUUACCAGAGAAUAUAAUGGCGGAUAUUGCCAAUGAUGUGGCCUAUUUCUCUGCUGUUAAUUGCCAUCCCUUGAAGAUUCCUGUUCCCAGGCUUAUAAGGACAUUUACAAAACUGACAAUUUCUCAUUUUCUGACAAUAUCAGGCAUUGUGGCCACCAAAACAGAUACAGUAGACGUUGGUUGCCUGAUUCAGCAGCUAGCGGACCUCAGGUACUUGAGAGAAUCCCUCAGUGCUUGCAGUAUGGCCUACUCUCCUCACAUGUUUACAUCUAAUUUCCUGAAGUUUCUGUCAGGGGUGCAGAUAGAAAGGCUGCCAAAAGCCACCCAGAUCCCUCAGGCGGAUAUGUCAAGAGCCAUGGCGAUGCUAAGGUUUGGAAUCACCAACUACAACGUCUCCGCCCACGCCUUCACAUUCAUGGAGGAAAUGUUUGAGAACAUCUAUAGGGAAUAUUCAUAUGUCUAUUCUCUAACAUCAGAAACCAGGAAGGCAAUGAUGGGCGUGAGCGAAACCUUAAAACACGUUGCCAAGCUCUGGAAGUUCACAACUAAGGACUUGAUAAAAUUGUUCACCAUAGCUACGUCCAUGUGUACAAAUAAUGAAAUUAGUACCAUGGUUGAAAGACACGCCCCCCUUUGGGACAUCGAUGCAGUGGAAACUUUCUCUCCCUGCUAUCUGAGUCUCAGAUUUGACUUUAGUGCCAAUAAGAUAAAUUUUGAGGUGGAGCAGACUAGUCAGCUCACGCCCAAGAGGACUUCUGGGGGUGUGUCUGGCUUUCUCACAGACCUUCACAACCAUCAUCUGGACCUGGUGGCAACGCUGCCUUUUGUAAAGUGUUUGUCUCAUGUUAUCAACAACACUGAUGUGAUACUGCCACUGGAAAAAAUAACAUAUAUCAUCAGCAAGGAAGCUGUACCGGGGGUGACAGUGUAUGAUGUAGCUGAGACCUUUCUAGAGAGUAAGUUGGUGAUAUCUGUGUUCACGGACGAAUGUCAGCCAGCCCUGCAAGACACGGAUGUGCACAGAACUGUUCCAGUAAUUUAUAAUAUCAGUGAUAGCAGAUGUCAAUUUUGUGGUUCGAUCAUCAUGAGUUAUGAUGAAUCACAGGGAUUUCUGGCAGCUAUGUAUGUGUCAGACAAAACCAUCCAGACAAAUUUGUUUCUCCCAGAAUCACCCUUUUUUGAUAAUCACAAUACCCACGUGCACUAUCUUUGGCUCAUGAGCAAUGGAUCUGUUGUGGAACUUAGAGGAAAAUACAGGAGGCAAAUUCAGAGUGUCUUUAUUUUAUUUGCUGUCAUUUCUCUGCUCUGCUUCCUCUGUUUUCUGGUAUUGCAGAUAAUAAAGUACAUUUUUCAUUAAAG
rnacentral:tmRNA from 1 species